rnacentral:rRNA from 1 species
UAGGGAAUCUUCGGCAAUGGACGAAAGUCUGACCGAGCAACGCCGCGUGAGUGAAGAAGGUUUUCGGAUCGUAAAACUCUGUUGGUAGAGAAGAACGUUGGUGAGAGUGGAAAGCUCAUCAAGUGACGGUAACUACCCAGAAAGGGACGGCUAACUACGUGCCAGCAGCCGCGGUAAUACGUAGGUCCCGAGCGUUGUCCGGAUUUAUUGGGCGUAAAGCGAGCGCAGGUGGUUUAUUAAGUCUGGUGUAAAAGGCAGUGGCUCAACC